rnacentral:lncRNA from 1 species
CCCCACCCUGCCUCUCUACCAUACUUUCCAAGGAGCCCACAGUGCUUCUUUUGUGAAGAGGAGAUUAGGACACAGACACAGAGGGGUGACCAUGUGAAGACUCAGAAAUCCGCCAUCUAUGAGCCAAGAAGAGAGAUCUCAGAAGGAACCAAUUCUGCUGACACCUUGAUUUCAGACUUCCAGUCUCCAGAACUGUCAGAUUCAAGUUGUUUUGGCUUUUACUACAAAAAGCAUCUUUACAUAUAUCUGCAAUUUAAUGGAUAAUUUAUUUUCCCUUUCCAUACAUCUGAAAGAAGAAACAUAAUUGGUAUGAACAGCACUUAAUUCCAGACUGACUUCUUUUGAACUGUAGAGACUGGAUUUCACCAUGUUGCCCAGGCUGGUCUCAAACUUCUGGCUUCAAACUAUCUGCCUGCCUCAGCCUCCCAAAGUGCUGGGAUUACAGGCGUGAGCACCGUGCCCUGCCUCUCUUCAAGGACUCUCUUUGCUACAUCGGCAUCACCUGGGAACGUGGUAGGGCUACAGAAUCUUGGGCCCCACCUUGGACCUACCUAAUCGUCAUCUUAUUCAUUGGUGUUCCCUUCGCCAGAGACCAGGUCGAUUGUCUUGGAGAAUGUCCCACAUUCAGCAUUUGUCUGCAUGCUUCCUUAUGGUGCCAUGCUCUUGUCCCUCUAUUCCAAGUGAGUGGAAGUUAGCUGGAGAAGUUUGACUAAAUUCAGGAUCAAGUUUUUGUGACAAGAAUAUUUCCUAGCUGGUGCUAUGUGCAUUUGCAUGGCAUCAGGAGGCAGAUGAUAUCUAGUUGGAAACAAGACUUUGGAUUUUACAAGCUAUGCUUUUGUAAGGAAAGGAACACAUUUAAAGCCUUGAGCGUGUAUUUGCAGAACCACGAGAUAACGGCAAAGAAAGUCCUUGGACACAGGCUCUGUGAGCAUCACAUCUCUCCAACUGGACCCGUGGGCGCUGCAGUGAGCAUAUAUGUCCUAAAGGGAUAUGGCACCAACCUUGUGAAUUGUUUGCUUGUGUUUUUCUAACAUUUCUACUACUUAGUUUCAAUUACAUUUUUCCUAGCAUGGAGUAAUAAAAACCUUUUAUAAAGGACAAUUUCAAGCAUAUUUUUGAAAAUUAAUUUCAAAAGUAGACAGUAUAGUUUUAUGAAUUUCUAUGUCCCCACUAGCCAGU